AUUGAACGCUGGCGGCAUGCCUUACACAUGCAAGUCGAACGGCAGCACGGGAGCAAUCCUGGUGGCGAGUGGCGAACGGGUGAGUAAUGUAUCGGAACGUGCCUUGUCGUGGGGGAUAACGCAGCGAAAGCUACGCUAAUACCGCAUACCAUCUAAGGAUGAAAGCGGGGGAUCGCAAGACCUCGCGCGACAAGAGUGGCCGAUAUCAGAUUAGGUUGUUGGUGGGGUAAAGGCCUACCAAGCCGACGAUCUGUAGCUGGUCUGAGAGGACGACCAGCCACACUGGGACUGAGACACGGCCCAGACUCCUACGGGAGGCAGCAGUGGGGAAUUUUGGACAAUGGGCGAAAGCCUGAUCCAGCAAUGCCGCGUGCAGGAUGAAGGCCUGGUUGUAAGUACGACUUAAGUACGGGUAGGGAAGGGACG
rnacentral:rRNA from 1 species